GCAGUGGGGCGUGCUAUACAUGCAGUCGAGCGAACAGAUAAGGAGCUUGCUCCUUUGACGUUAGCGGCGGACGGGUGAGUAACACGUGGGUAACCUACCUAUAAGACUGGGAUAACUUCGGGAAACCGGAGCUAAUACCGGAUAACAUUUGGAACCGCAUGGUUCUAAAGUGAAAGAUGGUUUUGCUAUCACUUAUAGAUGGACCCGCGCCGUAUUAGCUAGUUGGUAAGGUAACGGCUUACCAAGGCGACGAUACGUAGCCGACCUGAGAGGGUGAUCGGCCACACUGGAACUGAGACACGGUCCAGACUCCUACGGGAGGCAGCAGUAGGGAAUCUUCCGCAAUGGGCGAAAGCCUGACGGAGCAACGCCGCGUGAGUGAUGAAGGGUUUCGGCUCGUAAAACUCUGUUAUUAGGGAAGAACAAAUGUGUAAGUAACUGUGCACGUCUUGACGGUACCUAAUCAGAAAGCCACGGCUAACUACGUGCCAGCAGCCGCGGUAAUACGUAGGUGGCAAGCGUUAUCCGGAAUUAUUGGGCGUAAAGCGCGCGUAGGCGGUUUCUUAAGUCUGAUGUGAAAGCCCACGGCUCAACCGUGGAGGGUCAUUGGAAACUGGGAAACUUGAGUGCAGAAGAGGAAAGUGGAAUUCCAUGUGUAGCGGUGAAAUGCGCAGAGAUAUGGAGGAACACCAGUGGCGAAGGCGACUUUCUGGUCUGUAACUGACGCUGAUGUGCGAAAGCGUGGGGAUCAAACAGGAUUAGAUACCCUGGUAGUCCACGCCGUAAACGAUGAGUGCUAA
rnacentral:rRNA from 1 species